rnacentral:rRNA from 1 species
UAGGGAAUCUUCCGCAAUGGACGCAAGUCUGACGGAGCAACGCCGCGUGAGUGAUGAAGGUUUUCGGAUCGUAAAGCUCUGUUGCCCUAGACGAACAGCAAGGCGAGUAACUGCGCUUUGUGUGACGGUAUAGGAGAAGAAAGCCCCGGCUAACUACGUGCCAGCAGCCGCGGUAAUACGUAGGGGGCAAGCGUUGUCCGGAAUUAUUGGGCGUAAAGCGCGCGCAGGCGGUUAAUUAAGUUGGGUGUUUAAGCCCGGGGCUCAACCCCGGUUCGCAUCCAAAACUGGUUGACUUGAGUGUAGGAGAGGAAAGUGGAAUUCCACGUGUAGCGGUGAAAUGCGUAGAGAUGUGGAGGAACACCAGUGGCGAAGGCGACUUUCUGGCCUAUAACUGACGCUGAGGCGCGAAAGCGUGGGGAGCAAACA